AAGUUCCUUCAAAACAGGAAAAGGAAAUGGAUAAAAAAAUUCAAAAUGCUGAGUAACGGUCCAAAGUUCAGUAGAAGAAAUCUCAGUGGAGGGAACAUCAGCUGGCAUGGCGUCUUUUCAGUGGCCCUAAUAAAGACCUUCAAAGUGAAAAGACUGAUUCCCGUGGUGAUUCACUGUGGACCCACUACACUUGAUGUAUGUACAGCUGGACGUGGAAUGUAAUGAUGCAGAGGCUGGACGAGAAGACAUUAUUAAAGGAGCGUGUGUUUACAUGGAUGAAGAUCCAGAAAACCUGGUCCAGGAAUUUGUGUGGAUGAAGAGCCCGUUAACGACGCCAUUGAAGACAGCGGCGUGGUGGUUUAUGUCCUGAGGAACAAACUUCAAGUACAGAGUCAGAAGACAUUGGAAUCAUCUUGGAGGCAUCAAUGUGCUGCAGGACCUGCAUGAUGUGGUUUUGGAUGUCGCCAUGCUUUGGACUGAUGUGUACCCUCAACCUCACUUUUGCUCAAAACCUGCUCCAAAAGCCUAUAGUUUAAAAAAAAGUUGUAAUACUUCUAAGGCUGUUUUGAAUCAAGAUGUCACAAUACCAGUGUUAAUAUUUUGGACACUCGCUGUAUUUUUGACAGUAUUUUUGUGUUGUGGCUUUUGAAUAAAAGCUUUGACAUGCAAGUGUUAA